AACGAACGCUGGCGGCAUGCCUAACACAUGCAAGUCGAACGAGACCUUCGGGUCUAGUGGCGCACGGGUGCGUAACGCGUGGGAACCUGCCCUUAGGUUCGGAAUAACUCCCCGAAAGGGGUGCUAAUACCGGAUAAUGUCUUCGGACCAAAGAUUUAUCGCCUUGGGAUGGGCCCGCGUGGGAUUAGCUAGUUGGUAGGGUAAAAGCCUACCAAGGCGACGAUCCAUAGCUGGUCUGAGAGGAUGAUCAGCCACACUGGGACUGAGGCACGGCCCAGACUCCUACGGGAGGCAGCAGUGGGGAAUAUUGGACAAUGGGCGAAAGCCUGAUCCAGCAAUGCCGCGUGAGUGAUGAAGGCCUUAGGGUUGUAAAGCUCUUUUACCCGGGAUGAUAAUGACAGUACCGGGAGAAUAAGCUCCGGCUAACUCCGUG
rnacentral:rRNA from 1 species